rnacentral:lncRNA from 1 species
UUCUUUUGGCACACAAACUUUCCCUUCCCCCACACUUAGUUUUCUGCACAACAUUGAUCAAAAGGAAUUCCCUCUAAGUAAUGCUUUAUUAUCCAUUAAAAACAAGGGUAUGGAUAUUCCUAAUCGAGGCUAGGUAAGGAUAAUGUGGCUAACAACAAAAAUAGGCUAUAUAAGGCUCAAAGGGGUUAAUCCUACAAAACAAAUGCAUGGGAUGAAGGGUUUUUUGGCUCUGGUGAUAACUACUAAACAACUUUAUCUUGUUAUAUGUUAUGCACUCAAUUUUAAGCUUUGAAUGAAAUGGGUAUGAGUUCUAAUAUUUGGAUCUAUAAUGAUGACACGCCUUCUAAGUAGCAACCAAGCAAAGAAUGAUGAGAUCAUGCAACGACUUUAGAAAACAACAAAUUCACAGAUUAUUAACUCUCCAAAGAAUCGUUUAGGCUCAAGUCUCACAGGGUUGUAGCGUUAGUUUGAGUUACUUCCUUCAAGCAUGUUCCAAAAACUGAUUUUUUUCUUUGUGAUUAUAUGUGAAUUCGUAAACAACAACGAUGACCAAGCAUAAACAAAAGAGCAUAUCAAACUUCCAUCCAUGUUUGUAACGUUCUUUAACCGUCAUGCAAUUAAAAACCAAAUCCUCAUCAUUGUGUUGGAAGGUACUCUACGACACAAACAAACAAAAACAACUUUAAAAAACGACUCUUUUUUGGGUUUUUUUCAAAACUUUAUUCAAAUUUUUUUUCUUGAAUUUUCGGAUUUUCUGGUAAAGCCACAUAAAAACACAUCAAAACUUUCUAAAAACACUUAAAAAACAACCUUUGAAAUGUUAGGUGGUAAAAUCCUACGAAUUUUGACAUAAAAACACUUUGUUUACCCCCCAACACUUAAACCAAACAUUGUCCUCAAUGUUUCAAACAUAGACUCACACAAAAACAAGCAAAUAACACAACUAGCAAACAUGACAGAUAUGGCAAAGUAAAAGCAAUAAGGAGUAGGGUUUAGGAACGCAAAUCUGAUUAUGAUGCCAGAGCUUCCUAGGUCCUCUUUAUUUGCAUGGGUUGCCUCCCAAGAAGCGCUUGCUUGAACGUCUUCCAGCCAAACGAUGCUCCAUUGAAGGUUUAUGGAACCCCACGGCAUGGAGGGGUGUUUCCACAAUCUGACCUACGAAAUACUUCAUCUUUUGGGUCCUUGAAUGGGAUGGGAUAAUGAUCCUUUCUUAUUGUCAUGUUUUGCUUCUCUAAAUCAACACGAA